CUUUUCCUAAUAGAGUGAUUUAAGCCUUCAUUUUUAGACAUCUAAGCCCUUGGUGAUCAUCAGCAUAAAAUGUGACAAAUUAAACAAAAGCAAGACAGCACAUCAGAGAACAACUCUGAGGUGGAAUGAUUGGGAACCAAUGAAUAGUUGUUCAGUAAAUGGUUUAUAUUUUACAGAUGAUGAAACUGAAACACAAAAAAUUUAGAUUAACUCUUAGGUGACAAAGCCAGGAUUGAAGCUCAUGCGGUCUGGCUCCAGAACAACUCUUCUUCAUAGUUACGUUAUACUGCCCCUGCAUUGUUGGUAUUGAAAAUAACUGAUACCGUGCUUCCAGAAGAUUUUUCUAACAGUGUUUGCAAGCUAUAAAAUAGUGCUUUCACUUAGAAAAGGCUAGACGUGGUGGUUCAUGCCUGUAAUCCCAGCACUUUGAGAGGCCGAGGCACCAUGCUGGGAGAUAAGGAUCCAACAUAAGACAAACAGUGCUGAUGCUUUUGGAAAGCUCAUAUUCAAGCUGGGGAGACAAACAACAUACAAGAGGGCUCUGAGAGAUUUCAUUUCUGUCCUGCUGAUGAAGUCUACGUUCAUUCAGGGCCUGCUGUGGAAGACCAGCCCCAAAGGAAUGAGACUACAUACACUAAAAAACCAAAAAGCCUAAAAAAAGAGAUGAUAUUUUAAUUUCAAAAGCUU
rnacentral:lncRNA from 1 species